rnacentral:tRNA from 1 species
GGUGGGGCUGUGGCUCAGUGGAAGAGCCUCUGCUUGGCAGGUAGAAGGCCCCAGGUCCAAUCACCAGUAUCACCA